ACUCCUACGGGAGGCAGCAGUGGGGAAUAUUGCACAAUGGGCGCAAGCCUGAUGCAGCCAUGCCGCGUGUGUGAAGAAGGCCUUCGGGUUGUAAAGCACUUUCAGUCGUGAGGAAGGUAGUGUAGUUAAUAGCUGCAUUAUUUGACGUUAGCGACAGAAGAAGCACCGGCUAACUCCGUGCCAGCAGCCGCGGUAAGUACGGAGGGUGCGAGCGUUAAUCGGAAUUACUGGGCGUAAAGCGCAUGCAGGUGGUUUGUUAAGUCAGAUGUGAAAGCCCGGGGCUCAACUCGGAAUAGCAUUUGAAACUGGCAGACUAGAGUACUGGUAGAGGGGGUUAGGAAUUUCGAGGUGUAGCGGUGAAAUGCGUAGAGAUCU
rnacentral:rRNA from 1 species